GCGGGUAUUGUAUAGUGGUAAUAUGCGACUUUUCCAAAGUCGAGCGGGGGGUUCGAUUCCCCCUACCCGCU
rnacentral:tRNA from 1 species